CCUANGGGAGGCAGCAGUAAGGAAUAUUGGUCAAUGGACGAAAGUCUGAACCAGCCAUGCCGCGUGAAGGAUGAAGGCCCUCUGGGUUGUAAACUUCUUUUAUCUGGGACGAAAAAAGGGCUUUCUAGCUCACUUGACGGUACCAGAGGAAUAAGCACCGGCUAACUCCGUGCCAGCAGCCGCGGUAAUACGGAGGGUGCAAGCGUUAUCCGGAUUUACUGGGUUUAAAGGGUGCGUAGGUGGGUAGGUAAGUCAGUGGUGAAAUCUCCGAGCUUAACUCGGAAACUGCCAUUGAUACUAUUUAUCUUGAAUAUCCUGGAGGUGAGCGGAAUAUGUCAUGUAGCGGUGAAAUGCUUAGAUAUGACAUAGAACACCAAUUGCGAAGGCAGCUCACUACGGGAUUAUUGACACUGAGGCACGAAAGCGUGGGGAUCAAACAGGAUUAGAUACCCCUNUANUC
rnacentral:rRNA from 1 species